rnacentral:rRNA from 1 species
CAGCCGCCGCGGUAAUACGAGGGGGGCAAGCGUUGUUCGGAAUUAUUGGGCGUAAAGGGUGCGUAGGCGGCUUGAUAAGUCAUCUGUGAAAUCUCUGGGCUCAACCCAGAGUCUGCAGGCGAAACUGUCGGGCUUGAGUAUGGGAGAGGUGAGUGGAAUUUCCGGUGUAGCGGUGAAAUGCGUAGAUAUCGGAAGGAACACCUGUGGCGAAAGCGGCUCACUGGACCAUAACUGACGCUGAUGCACGAAAGCGUGGGGAGCGAACAGGAUUAGAUACCCCCGUAGUCCCUGUCUCUUAUAC